rnacentral:pre_miRNA from 12 species
CGUUUUCCAGACAUCAUUAGCAUUUGAGGUGAAGUUCUGUUAUACACUCAGACUGUGGCUCUCUGAAAGUCAGUGCAUCACAGAACUUUGUCUCGAAAGCUUUCAAGCAGCUGUCUGUUGG